rnacentral:piRNA from 1 species
UAGGAUUAGUGGGGUCUGGACCCUUAGC